AGCAUGUGUUAGAGGUUACCGUGACGCUCUGUUUAAAAUUGACUAGCAUAAUAUAAAGUACUAACAAAUCACUCGUCAGUAGCAAGCCUCAAGCCCCUUAAGCAUACUAACAUCUUGGCACAAAACCUCCUAGGUAGUCAGGGUGUAUACCCUACUGUGAAAAUGCUUAUGAGCUCUCCCCACUGAUAUUCUUACAGUCUGUCAACCAAUUU